rnacentral:rRNA from 1 species
UACGAGGGGGGCGAGCGUUUGUUCGGAAUUAUUGGGCGUAAAGGGUGCGUAGGCGGUUUUGUAAGUCUUAUGUGAAAUCUAUGGGCUCAACUCAUAGACUGCAUGAGAAACUGCAGGGCUUGAGUAUGGGAGAGGUGAGUGGAAUUCCGUGGUGUAGCGGUGAAAUGCGUAGAUAUCAGGAGGAACACCUGUGGCGAAAGCGGCUCACUGGACCAUAACUGACGCUGGAUGCACGAAAGCUAGGGGAGCAAACAGG